UAGGGAAUCUUCGGCAAUGGACGAAAGUCUGACCGAGCAACGCCGCGUGAGUGAAGAAGGUUUUCGGAUCGUAAAACUCUGUUGGUAGAGAAGAACGUUGGUGAGAGUGGAAAGCUCAUCAAGUGACGGUAACUACCCAGAAAGGGACGGCUAACUACGUGCCAGCAGCCGCGGUAAUACGUAGGUCCCGAGCGUUGUCCGGAUUUAUUGGGCGUAAAGCGAGCGCAGGUGGUUUAUUAAGUCUGGUGUAAAAGGCAGUGGCUCAACCAUUGUAUGCAUUGGAAACUUGUAGACUUGAGUGCAGGAGAGGAGAGUGGAAUUCCAUGUGUAGCGGUGAAAUGCGUAGAUAUAUGGAGGAACACCGGUGGCGAAAGCGGCUCUCUGGCCUGUAACUGACACUGAGGCUCGAAAGCGUGGGGAGCGAACA
rnacentral:rRNA from 1 species